GAUAUAGAUUUUUUUAGGUUGGUCUUUUUUAUGUGGCCUAAACAUGUUUUUCUGCUGCCCCCAUCCACAGCAGUGCAUUGCUGAGCUGCUGUGCUGGUACUCCUGUCUGCUACUCCAAACUUGGGGUGUGUUGACCCCCAUCUACUGUAGACUUCUGGGCGUAAAUACGGGAGGCUCAGAAUGGAGAAGCAAUCAUAGAAGGACCAUCAAAAAAACAAAAUUACACACGUGUCUGCAUUUGGGUUCGAUCCAGACUUUGAAAAACACUUAAGCAGAUCAAACAUCCCGUUCUGCAGCUGGGACGUCCAGCAGAAGAAACAGCAGACAGGAGCACAUUGAACUGGAAUUGAUACUCAAUUAGGAGUUGCUUUAAUGGGCAGAAAAGAUGUUUUUUCCUGUUUACCUUCAACUGCAGCUGAUCUGUUCAGGUUAGACAUCAUUAAAUGUGUAAGGAUAAUCAAAAUUGUUCACUUAAAGUUUAAAACACUACAUUUUAUUAAAUAAAAUGAGAGCUGCUAUCUGUGCUUCAGGAGGUUCCGUAGCUGAAAAGUCGCAGGUUCGAUCCCUGCAGUCUCUUUCCUAUUCAUCCCUGUCGAAUGAAAUGAGGCUGCGGGCCGACCUCUGACCUUUCCAGUGAAACAACUACAGUUUAAGGUACACACUGUUUUUCACAUGGUAAUGAUUAAACUGCUCUGAAACGAUUGAAAGUAAUGUUGAAAUUCUGUCCACGUGGCUCCAUUGAAGACAAUGCUAAUUAAUUCUGAUGUCCAUGGGGCAAUACAGGUCAUUGAUUCACAACAGUUAGCGGUCCAACAAUACAAAAAUAUUCCCUAUUGGUAAAGAAGUCCAACAGCUUAUACUAAUGAAGCUUAUUAGUCACGGCUAGUCAUGGAGUUUUGAUCGAGACUGAAAGAUCUCAACAACUAUACAUGUUAGGUAUUCCGUACGGUGGCCGACAAGGGUGAACGCGCCGCAAAUGGCAAAAUGCUGCAAACACGGGAAUGAUGCAAAUCCAAAAACACACAAACCCAUAAAACAAAUAACAGGGUUUGUAAGUUUUUGCUUCUGCUUCGUUUCUGUGAUUGCAGCAUUUUUCUGUUGCUGCG
rnacentral:lncRNA from 15 species